rnacentral:rRNA from 1 species
GAUGAACGCUGGCGGCGUGCCUAAUACAUGCAAGUCGAGCGAACGGACGAGAAGCUUGCUUCUCUGAUGUUAGCGGCGGACGGGUGAGUAACACGUGGAUAACCUACCUAUAAGACUGGGAUAACUUCGGGAAACCGGAGCUAAUACCGGAUAAUAUUUUGAACCGCAUGGUUCAAAAGUGAAAGACGGUCUUGCUGUCACUUAUAGAUGGAUCCGCGCUGCAUUAGCUAGUUGGUAAGGUAACGGCUUACCAAGGCAACGAUGCAUAGCCGACCUGAGAGGGUGAUCGGCCACACUGGAACUGAGACACGGUCCAGACUCCUACGGGAGGCAGCAGUAGGGAAUCUUCCGCAAUGGGCGAAAGCCUGACGGAGCAACGCCGCGUGAGUGAUGAAGGUCUUCGGAUCGUAAAACUCUGUUAUUAGGGAAGAACAUAUGUGUAAGUAACUGUGCACAUCUUGACGGUACCUAAUCAGAAAGCCACGGCUAACUACGUGCCAGCAGCCGCGGUAAUACGUAGGUGGCAAGCGUUAUCCGGAAUUAUUGGGCGUAAAGCGCGCGUAGGCGGUUUUUUAAGUCUGAUGUGAAAGCCCACGGCUCAACCGUGGAGGGUCAUUGGAAACUGGAAAACUUGAGUGCAGAAGAGGAAAGUGGAAUUCCAUGUGUAGCGGUGAAAUGCGCAGAGAUAUGGAGGAACACCAGUGGCGAAGGCGACUUUCUGGUCUGUAACUGACGCUGAUGUGCGAAAGCGUGGGGAUCAAACAGGAUUAGAUACCCUGGUAGUCCACGCCGUAAACGAUGAGUGCUAAGUGUUAGGGGGUUUCCGCCCCUUAGUGCUGCAGCUAACGCAUUAAGCACUCCGCCUGGGGAGUACGACCGCAAGGUUGAAACUCAAAGGAAUUGACGGGGACCUGCACAAGCGGUGGAGCAUGUGGUUUAAUUCGAAGCAACGCGAAGAACCUUACCAAAUCUUGACAUCCUUUGACAACUCUAGAGAUAGAGCUUUCCCCUUCGGGGGACAAAGUGACAGGUGGUGCAUGGUUGUCGUCAGCUCGUGUCGUGAGAUGUUGGGUUAAGUCCCGCAACGAGCGCAACCCUUAAGCUUAGUUGCCAUCAUUAAGUUGGGCACUCUAAGUUGACUGCCGGUGACAAACCGGAGGAAGGUGGGGAUGACGUCAAAUCAUCAUGCCCCUUAUGAUUUGGGCUACACACGUGCUACAAUGGACAAUACAAAGGGCAGCGAAACCGUGAGGUCAAGCAAAUCCCAUAAAGUUGUUCUCAGUUCGGAUUGUAGUCUGCAACUCGACUACAUGAAGCUGGAAUCGCUAGUAAUCGUAGAUCAGCAUGCUACGGUGAAUACGUUCCCGGGUCU